ACGGGUGAGUAACACGUGGGAACCUUCCCUAUAGUACGGAAUAGCCCAGGGAAACUUGGAGUAAUACCGUAUACGCCCGAAAGGGGAAAGAUUUAUCGCUAUAGGAUGGGCCCGCGUAGGAUUAGCUAGUUGGUGAGGUAAUGGCUCACCAAGGCGACGAUCCUUAGCUGGUUUGAGAGAACGACCAGCCACACUGGGACUGAGACACGGCCCAGACUCCUACGGGAGGCAGCAGUGGGGAAUAUUGGACAAUGGGCGCAAGCCUGAUCCAGCCAUGCCGCGUGAGUGAUGAAGGCCUUAGGGUUGUAAAGCUCUUUUGCCGGGGACGAUAAUGACGGUACCCGGAGAAUAAGUCCCGGCUAACUUCGUGCCAGCAGCCGCGGUAAUACGAAGGGGACUAGCGUUGUUCGGAAUCACUGGGCGUAAAGCGCACGUAGGCGGAUUUGUAAGUCAGGGGUGAAAUCCCGGGGCUCAACCUCGGAACUGCCUUUGAUACUGCAAGUCUUGAGUCCGAUAGAGGUGGGUGGAAUUCCUAGU
rnacentral:rRNA from 1 species